NAACCUGGUUGAUCCUGCCAGUAGUCAUAUGCUUGUCUCAAGGAUUAAGCCAUGCAUGUCUAAGUAUGAACCUUCAUACGGUGAAACUGCGAACGGCUCAUUACAACAGUUAUCAUUUACUUGGUGAUUGGAUCUCUGAUCCUACAUGGAUACCUGUCGGUAACACCAGAGCUAAUACAUGCACAAACUCUCGGCCUUACGGUGGAGAGGCAUUUAUUAGAUACUACCACCCUGCGUCCGCGCAGGUCGGGUGAUUCAUAGUAACCUUGCGAACCGCUCAAGCGAGUGGUGAACCAAUCGAGUUUCUGCCCUAUCAGCUUUCGUCGGUACGGUAUUGGCGUACCGAGGCCGCAACGGGUAACGGGGAAUUGGGGUUUGAUUCCGGAGAGGGAGCCUGAGAGACGGCUACCACAUCUAAGGAAGGCAGCAGGCGCGCAAAUUACCCAAUGGCAAUUCGCCGAGGUAGCGACAAGAAAUAACUGUUGCGGGCAAAUGUCUGCAAACGGGAAUGAGGUGUAUUUAAAACCCACACCGAGUAACAAUUGGAGGGCAAGUCUGGUGCCAGCAGCCGCGGUAACACCAGCUCCAAUAGCGUAUAUUAAAGUUGUUGCACUUAAAAAGCUCGUAGUCAGACUGCCGAGGGCACCCCUGUUGUGGCGCCGACCAACUCUCUGAGCUGGUCGAUUACGCCCUCAGGCCUCCUGGACCCCGCCCGACUUUAUUGCUGGAGCCGUUCCUCCUACGGAGCGAACSUGUUUCAGCACGGGCAUGUUCCUGUGAGCAAAUCAGAGUGUUCCAAGCAGGCGCUUUGCGYNNUCUGCAUGGUUGAGCAUGGAAUGACAACGCGGGACUCCGGUUGCGCUUUGUUGGUGGAGCCGACUGGAGGACAUGGUUAAUAGGGACAGUUGGGGGCAUUUGUAUUUCCAUGUCAGAGGUGAAAUUCUAGGAUUAUGGAAAGACAAACUGCUGCGAAAGCGUUUGCCAAGGAUGUUCCCGUUGAUCAAGAACGAAAGUUAGGGGAUCGAAGACGAUCAGACACCGUCCUAGUCCUAACCGUAAACGAUGCCGACUGGGGAUUGGAGAACGUAUCGAUCAUUAUGUCUCCUUCAGCACCCUUCCGGGAAACCAAAGUCUUUGGGUUGUGGGGGGAGUAUGGUCGCAAGGCUGAAACUUAAAGGAAHUGACGGAACUCUACCACCAAUGGAGGAGCCAGUGCGGCUUAAUUCGACUCAACUCGGGAAACCUUACCAGGUCCAGACAUAGGGAGGAUGGACAGAUUGAGAGCUCUUUCUUGAUUCUAUGGGUGGUGGUGCAUGGCCGUUUCUAGUUGGUGGAGUGAUUUGUCUGGUUAAUUCCGAUAACGAACGAGACCUCUGCCUGCUAACUAGCGUGGCCUAUCCUCUUGCAGGAUAGGUUCCARAAGUCAAGCGCUUCUUAGAGGGAUUCCUGACUACAAGUCGGGUGAAACGAGAGGCUAGAACAGGUCUGUGAUGCCCUUCGAUGUUCUGGGCCGCACGCGCGCUACACUGACGGAGGCAACAAGCGUGUCCUUGACCGAAAGGUCCCGGGGAACCUUAACAAACUUCGUCGUGCUGGGGAUAGACCAUUGCAAUUAUUGGUCUUCAACGAGGAUUCGUUAGUAAUCGCGUGUCAUCAUCGKGCGAUGACUACGUCCCUGGAGUUUGUACACACCGCCCGUCGCUCCUACCGAUUGGAUGAUGCGGUGAAAUCUUCGGACCGACUAGUGGCUUGCAUGGCGUCUUGCGGCGUCUCCCGUGUUGGGAAGUUGAUUGAAUCUUAUCAUCUAGAGGAAGGAGAAGUCGUAACAAGGUAUCYGUAGGUGAACCUGCAGAAGGAUCANNNN
rnacentral:rRNA from 1 species